AUCAUGGCUCAGGAUGAACGCUGGCGGCGUGCCUAACACAUGCAAGUCGAACGGAAAUCAGGCGCUUCGGAGACUUCGGUCAAUGUUGUCUGGUUUAGUGGCGGACGGGUGAGUAACGCGUGGAUAACCUGCCUCAUACAGGGGGAUAACAGUUAGAAAUGACUGCUAAUACCGCAUAAGCGCACGGGACCGCAUGAUCCUGUGUGAAAAACUCCGGUGGUAUGAGAUGGAUCCGCGUCUGAUUAGCUAGUUGGCGGGGUAACAGCCCACCAAGGCGACGAUCAGUAGCCGGCCUGAGAGGGUGAACGGCCACAUUGGGACUGAGACACGGCCCAAACUCCUACGGGAGGCAGCAGUGGGGGAUAUUGCACAAUGGGGGAAACCCUGAUGCAGCGAACCGCCGCGUGAGUGAAGAAGUAUUUCGGUAUGUAAAGCUCUAUCAGCAGGGAAGAUAAUGACGGUACCUGACUAAGAAGCACCGGCUAAAUACGUGCCAGCAGCCGC
rnacentral:rRNA from 1 species